rnacentral:rRNA from 1 species
ACGCUGGCCGCAGGCCUAACACAUGCAAGUCGAGCGGAUGACGGGAGCUUGCUCCUUGAUUCAGCGGCGGACGGGUGAGUAAUGCCUAGGAAUCUGCCUGGUAGUGGGGGACAACGUUUCGAAAGGAACGCUAAUACCGCAUACGUCCUACGGGAGAAAGCAGGGGACCUUCGGGCCUUGCGCUAUCAGAUGAGCCUAGGUCGGAUUAGCUUGUUGGUGAGGUAAUGGCUCACCAAGGCGACGAUCCGUAACUGGUCUGAGAGGAUGAUCAGUCACACUGGAACUGAGACACGGUCCAGACUCCUACGGGAGGCAGCAGUGGGGAAUAUUGGACAAUGGGCGAAAGCCUGAUCCAGCCAUGCCGCGUGUGUGAAGAAAGUCUUCGGAUUGUAAAGCACUUUAAGUUGGGAGGAAGGGCAGUAAGCUAAUACCUUGCUGUUUUGACGUUACCGACAGAAUAAGCACCGGCUAACUCUGUGCCAGCAGCCGCGGUAAUACAGAGGGUGCAAGCGUUAAUCGGAAUUACUGGGCGUAAAGCGCGCGUAGGUGGUUUGUUAAGUUGGAUGUGAAAGCCCCGG